GAUGAACGCUGGCGGCGUGCUUAACACAUGCAAGUCGAACGGAAAGGCUCCUGCUUGCUGGGGUCCUCGAGUGGCGAAAGGGUGAGAAACACGUGGGUGACCUGCCCUGCAUUUCGGCAUAUGCCUUGUAAACCGGGUCUACUACCGGAUAGGACGAUGAUUUGGAUGGGAUGGUGGCAAGUGUUUACGUCGUGGGAUGAGUUGGCGGCGUUUCAGCUUGUGGGUGGCGGAAUGGCCUACCAAGGCGUCGACGGGUAGCCGGCGUGGGAAGGUGGACGGCGACAUUGGGCCUGAGAUACGGCGCAGGCUGCAACGGGGGACAGUAGUGGAGAAGAUUGAACAAUGGGCGCACGCCUGAUGCGGCGACUCCGGGCGGUGGAGGUGGGCCUUCGGGUUGUAAACUACUUUCGCUCGGGACGGGGCGGGAGUGACGGUACCUGGAGGAGAAGGACCGGCUAACUACGUG
rnacentral:rRNA from 1 species